UUGACAUCCUUUGACAACUCUAGAGAUAGAGCCUUCCCCUUCGGGGGACAAAGUGACAGGUGGUGCAUGGUUGUCGUCAGCUCGUGUCGUGAGAUGUUGGGUUAAGUCCCGCAACGAGCGCAACCCUUAAGCUUAGUUGCCAUCAUUAAGUUGGGCACUCUAAGUUGACUGCCGGUGACAAACCGGAGGAAGGUGGGGAUGACGUCAAAUCAUCAUGCCCCUUAUGAUUUGGGCUACACACGUGCUACAAUGGACAAUACAAAGGGCAGCGAAACCGCGAGGUCAAGCAAAUCCCAUAAAGUUGUUCUCAGUUCGGAUUGUAGUCUGCAACUCGACUACAUGAAGCUGGAAUCGCUAGUAAUCGUAGAUCAGCAUGCUACGGUGAAUACGUUCCCGGGUCUUGUACACACCGCCCGUCACACCACGAGAGUUUGUAACACCCGAAGCCGGUGGAGUAACCUUUUAGGAGCUAGCCGUCGAAGGUGGGACAAAUGAUUGGGGUGAAGUCGUAACAAGGUAGCCGUAUCGGAAGGUGCGGCUGGAUCACCUCCUUU
rnacentral:rRNA from 1 species